rnacentral:rRNA from 1 species
CUGUUCUGCAAGUCCUCCGUUAAAUCCACCUGCUCAACAGUUGGGCUGCGGGGGAUACUACAGCGCUAGGAGGCGGGAGAGGCAAGCGGUACUUAAUGGGUAGGGGUAAAAUCCACUGAUCCAUUGAAGACCACCAGUGGCGAAGGCGGCUUGCCAGAACGCGCUCGACGGUGAGGGAUGAAAGCUGGGGGAGCAAACCGGAUUAGAUACCCGGGUAGUCCCAGCUGUAAACGAUGCAGACUCGGUGAUGAGUUGGCUUUAUGCCAACUCAGUGCCGCAGGGAAGCCGUUAAGUUUGCCGCCUGGGGA